UGAGUGCGAGCUGCUACGGCAGCGAAGUUGGUGACGUCAAGCUUCCAAGAAAAGCCCUAUACCCGUUAAGGCAUCAUGGCCUGUACCCGAAACCGACACAGGUGGGGUGGUAGAGAAUACCGAGGGGCGCGAGGUAACUCUCUCUAAGGAACUCGGCAAAAUGGCCCCGUAACUUCGGGAGAAGGGGUGCCACCGCAAGGUGGUCGCAGUGAAGAGGCCCAGGCGACUGUUUACCAAAAACACAGGUCUCCGCUAAGUCGCAAGACGAUGUAUGGGGGCUGACGCCUGCCCAGUGCCGGAAGGUUAAGGAAGCUGGUCAGCGCAAGCGAAGCUGGCGACUGAAGCCCCGGUGAACGGCGGCCGUAACUAUAACGGUCCUAAGGUAGCGAAAUUCCUUGUCGGGUAAGUUCCGACCCGCACGAAAGGCGUAACGAUCUGGGCGCUGUCUCGGAGAGAGGCUCGGCGAAAUAGAAUUGUCUGUGAAGAUGCGGACUACGUGCACCCGGACAGAAAGACCCUAUGAAGCUUUACUGUAGCUUGGUAUUGUGCCCGGGCUCUGAAUGCGCAGGAUAGGUGGGAGGCUUGGAUCAUCGGCUUGCGGGUCGAUGUGAGCCAACGGUGAGAUACCACUCUUUCAGAGCUAGGGUUCUAACAGUCACCCGUUAUCCGGGGACUGGACAGUAUCAGGUGGGCAGUUUGACUGGGGCGGUCGCCUCCUAAAAGGUAACGGAGGCGCGCAAAGGUCUGCUCAGGCUGGUUGGAAAUCAGCCGACGAGUGUAAAAGCAGAAGCAGGCUUGACUGUGAGACCUACAAGUCGAACAGGGAGGAAACUCGGCUUUAGUGAUCCGACGGUUCUGCGUGGGAGGGCCGUCGCUCAACGGAUAAAAGUUACUCUAGGAUAACAGGCUCAUCUCCCCCAAGAGUUCACAUCGACGGGGAGGUUUGGCACCUCGAUGUCGGCUCAUCGCAACCUGGGGCUGAAGUCGGUCCCAAGGGUUGGGCUGUUCGCCCAUUAAAGCGGUACGCGAGCUGGGUUCAGAACGUCGUGAGACAGUUCGGUCCAUAUCCGGUGCAUGCGCAGGAAUAUUGAGAGGAGUUCUCCCUAGUACGAGAGGACCGGGAGGAACGCACCUCUGGUGUACCAGUUAUCGUGCCAACGGUAAACGCUGGGUAGCCAUGUGCGGAGAGGAUAACCGCUGAAAGCAUCUAAGUGGGAAGCCCACCUCAAGAUGAGUAUUCCCACGGCGUUAGCCAGUAAGGUCACGGGAAGAACACCCGUUGAUAGGCUCUAUGUGGAAGCGCAGUAAUGCGUGAAGCAGAGGAGUACUAAUAGACC
rnacentral:rRNA from 1 species